GAUGAACGCUGGCGGCGUGCCUAAUACAUGCAAGUCGAGCGAACAGACGAGGAGCUUGCUCCUCUGACGUUAGCGGCGGACGGGUGAGUAACACGUGGAUAACCUACCUAUAAGACUGGGAUAACUUCGGGAAACCGGAGCUAAUACCGGAUAAUAUAUUGAACCGCAUGGUUCAAUAGUGAAAGACGGUUUUGCUGUCACUUAUAGAUGGAUCCGCGCCGCAUUAGCUAGUUGGUAAGGUAACGGCUUACCAAGGCAACGAUGCGUAGCCGACCUGAGAGGGGUGUCGGCCACACUGGAACCUAGACACGGGUCCGACCCCCACCGGAGGGAGGAGUAGGGGAUUCUUCCGAAAGGGCCGAAGGCUUGCCGAGCAAAGCCGCGGGGGGUAUGAAGGGUUUUCGAUUGGUAAACCUCUGUUAUAGGGAAAAAAAAAUUGUGAAAGUACCAAGGACCGUUUUACCGGUACCAAAUCAAAAGCCCCCGCCUACCUCCGU
rnacentral:rRNA from 1 species